GGUGCCGGGAGCCGGGUUCCCGGCCGCCGCCGCCGCCGCCGCCGACUCCCGGCCGGUUCGCGGCACUGUGAAUGCACCAUUUUAGAGAGAACGAAUCAUCCUCGCAGCUAACGCUCCCAGGCGCUGCUCCGUGUUACAUGUGUCAGUUCAUUCAGUCCUUUCGCCCACCCUAGGGAGCAAGCACCAUAGGAUCUCCUCGUUACUGAAGAGGAACCCGAGGGACAAAGAGGCUGAGCCCCUUGCCUGAAGUUUCACAGCAGCAAGCCCUGGCAUGUGGAAUGAGAGCCUGUCUUUCAACAGCGUGCGGACCAGCGCCUUCCCACAAGCCUGUCCUAAAAAUGCACUUGCCAUGUGCCACGCGCUGUACUAGUGGCUCGGAUGCAUGUUAGCUUAUUCAAUCCUCAUGAAACAUUGAGAGAUUGCCUUAGAAGCCGCUUGUUUUGGAGAGCAACAGAGGCAGAACACUGAGCAGGGCCCCUCUACGCCCCCAGCUGUCUUCAUGCUGUGUCUUCCGAGCUGGCCUGCCUGCACAGCUUUCUUCUACUGCAGAAGAAACCAACUCGCCUGUAAAGAGACUUGAAAACGAGGUCCCCAGUUUUCCUGGUAAGGAAACUGAGUUUAGAGAGGGGUGUGACCAGAGAUACACUUGGACAAUGGAGUCACACUGUGGGGCUUAAGCUCAGGUGAGCUCUGGGCUCCCUGCUGGGGCUGGAGCGGGGCCUGUGUAUCACUGGUUGGCAGAGUAGACAGCAUGGUGGAGCAACGCCCUCUGCAGUCUGGCAGAGCUGUGGCCAUCAACCAGCCCUGCCCACUCCUUGGCCCACUCUCCCAGCUCCUCCCCACGUGGGGUCCCGCAGGUCCUACCGUCUGCACCGCGUGGCUAAAGAUGAGCUUCUCGGCAGUGACGCUCUGGAUGCGGUCCAGGAGCCGCUGCUUGUCAAGGAAGAAGCGCUGCAGCCGCAGGCUCAGGCUUUGGCAGGACACCACGCUGGUCUUGUACAGUUCGUUCAGUUUCCGCACCACUGCAGGAGGGGACCUUGCAGCUCAGGCUGACUGCAGGAGUGGGGACCAACAGGCAAAAAGCCCCUCACUCCACCCCCGGGGCAGCUUUCUGACCCCACCUCCUAUGCAUUCUGCCCCAGCAAUGCGCACUGUGCCUUCCCACCCCCAGACACACAGGGCCCUGCUUCGGGGCCUUUGCACCUGGCCUUCUACCAUGCCCCUGGCCAUUAUCCCACCUGGGUGGGGCCUGCACCAGGUAACCUUAGAAAGGCCUCCCGCAUCACCUCACCCUCCCUGUCUUCCCCACGAGCUCACAGCCUCCUGCCCCGACCCUGCUGGGAGCUCGAGCCAUCUGCACUCACCUUGCUUCACGGUGGACGACAGGCAGAGCUUGCCGGCCCGGAUCUGGUCGAUGGCGGUCUGCAGGCCCGAGGACAGGAGCUCGGCCACCUUCAGGUAAAGCACCAGCUGCUCUGCAAAACUGGAGGGCGGCACGGAUGUGUCAGGCGCCUGGGGGUCCCACGCCCCAGGCGGCCUCCCCGCUGGGCACCCACUGGACACACCCACCCCCACUCGCGGCUCAGCAGGCUGAUCUGGUCGGCCACCACGCUCUCCUGCAGCUGGUCCUCAGGCCCCCCGGCCGCCUCACUGGCGCUGCCCUUCAGAGCCGCGAUCUCCAGGACGUGCUGGACAAAGACGAGCGUGAAGCGCAGGCUGUGCAGGAUCUCCGUGUGCUCUUGCUGGGGAGACGGGGCGGCUGAGCGACGGACCUUGACAGCCCUGUGACCAGCCCUGCCCAGAGAUCAUGCCAGGCCUCACACCAGCCCCAGCUCUCACCUCCAUCAGGGUCUCCUCAGGGAGGUCGGGGGCCUCGAAGGUCACGGCCCCCUCCAGGUUGGCGGUGACAGGGUCGGCAAAGCUGCAGCAGUGGCCGGGGGCGGGGACCUCAAGGGUGGCCUCGCUGUAGGCCCCAGGCGCCAGGUGGCGGGCGGAGGAGGAGCCGGCCGAGCUGAGGGAGCUGGAGGAGCCCACUGUGGAGAGAGGGCUGGUGAGCAGGGGCCCCCGCCACGGCUGCCCCUUCCCCACCAAUCUUCUGCCACUCUGAGACACAAGUCUGGUCCCCACCACCCGGCUGCUCUCCCUCCAGGGAGUAGAGCCCACAGCGGAAGCCUCACCACUCCCAGGCCUCCGUCCACUGUCCACUGUAGGUGGGACCCUCGAGUUCAGAGGCUGGGGUUGCAGAGGCCUGUCUGUAUGACCUGUGCCCGCCCAGAGGCAGCUCUGAGCCCUAGAGCUCUGACCCUACCGGGAGGACCCUCCCAGGGCCUCAGCGUCGGGGUGGUGCCCCGGUGCCCAGGGUAUCACCCCUGCUGCACUGGUGCCAUCAGCCACCGCCCUCCCACUUCCUGAAGGAUGGCGUGCGCCACUGACUCACUGCAGCUUCGAGGCCACCAGACAGUCCUCACCUGAGAACAUGGUCGUGCGGGGGCCCUGGGGUGGCGUGGUCCCGCUGGGGGGCGAGCCCACUGUGAACACUACGGGGGAAGGGCUGCUGGCGCCCCCAGCGCGAGCUCCUGGGUGCAGGUUCCCUCCGAAGCCAGCAGAGGGCGCUGGGGGAGUGAGAAGAGGCGCUCAGGUUCCUCCCGCCACGGCUCCCCCACUUCCCAGAGAGCUCCCUACCAGUCCCCUCCGGCGUACCAAUCUCCAUGGGCUUCUCCUGCAGGCUGUCUGUGCUGCCUGAGUCGGGAGCCUGCGUCCCAAACGCAGCCUUAAGGAGCAGAUCUGUGAGGCGGCCGGUGCUGAGGGACCUGCAGGGUGAAGGGUGGUAUGAGGUGCCAUGAGCCACCCCGGGGGUACAGUCUACCCACUUCCCAGGGCUGGCCCCUUACACCCCACAGGCAGGGCCUGGGGAACCUCACAGCCUGGUCAGAGUGCCCAGCCCUGCCCAUUCCAGGCAGUUACUGUCACCCAUUGAACAGAUGUGCAAACUGAGGCUCAGAAGCGGUGAUGGAGGGAGUGCGGCGCAGGCAAACAGCAGGAAUUGGCAAUUAUGGAGCCUGUGUGCUGCGACUAAUAAAGAGCCUGUGUUCUGCAACAAAAGCCACCACGAUGAGAAGCCUGCACAACUGCUCGCCACAACCAGAGAAAAGCCUGCACAGCCCCGAAGAGCCAGCACAGCCAAAAAUAAAGAAAGAAAAUUAUACUUAAAUAAACCUUAAAAAAAAAAUGAUGGUUGUGGACAGGAAGACAACCACUGUUCUAAGCAGUGACAGGCCAGCCCAGGGAGGUCAGCCCAGCUCCUGUGCCCCUCCCCAGCUCCACCCUCAAACCCAUCAAUCAGGCUGGGGCUGCACCCACCUGGACGAGGGGACCUGCCACCCCGCAUCUCAGAUGCUUGAGGGGAGGGUGCUCCACUCCAGCCUGGCCGCUCAGGGAUGGUUCCGACUUGGGGGAAAGAGAAAUUGCCAGGGUCAACAUGGGAUGGAGAGCAAGACCCUCCCCUACCUGCCCCAGGGUGAAGACACCCAGUCCCAGCUCAGAGGCUGGUCUCCCAGCAGUAUAUAGGCUCACCCUGGGG